rnacentral:misc_RNA from 1 species
GAUGAAGAACGUAGCGAAAUGCGAUAAGUAAUGUGAAUUGCAGAAUUCAGUGAAUCAUCGAAUCUUUGAAUGCACAUUGCGCCCGCCAGUAUUCUGGCGGGCAUGCCUGUCUGAGCGUCAUUUCAACCCUCAUGCCCCUAGGGCGUGGUGUUGGGGAUCGGCCAAAGCCCGCGAGGGACGGCCGGCCCCUAAAUCUAGUGGCGGACCCGUCGUGGCCUCCUCUGCGAAGUAGUGAUAUUCCGCAUCGGAGAGCGACGAGCCCCUGCCGUUAAACCCCCAACUUUCCAAGGUUGACCUCAGAUCAGGUAGGAAUACCCGCUGAACUUAAGCAUAUCAAUAAGCGGAGGA